UCAAGAAAACUAACAUACUGUAUUAGUUAAAAUCACUAGCAGUAUGUGGGACAAGCUUACUCAGCCAAGCCUCUUCAACCCUCAUUUAUAGAUCAGCACUGGAGACCUUAAUCACAAUCUUGAGUAAUAGGCUCCAGGAUUACUCUUGUCAUAAAAAUACGGUCAGCUAAAUAUUGAGUUUUACCAUAAAGCUAUUUCAGUUCUUCCCUUCUAACUAGAAGGUUGUUCCUUUAAUGAUCAGAAACCUUCUUCACCUUCUCCUGUCCUUUCUUAGCUAGGAUCUGCUACAUCCAAAGGAAAAUUCAGUAGAGUAAUCAAUGUGUAGAAAGGCUCAAAGUAAGCACAGAUCUCUAAUAGGAUGAAGAGGAAAUGCCAUGUGGAAAAUGUGAAGUUUCACUGAUGCUCUCAAAUUUCUCUUUCACUGAGACUCUGAAGAAACCGUGCUGAAGGAACAGCACUCCAUGGAAUGCUUCAAAGAGAUAAAGCCACAGUGAAGCUCAUAAAUAUAACCUCUCAGGCGGAAAUAUGAGUCACUGCUUGAGUUUGCAUAUAGUUGCAAUUCUGGCCUUUUCAAUACAAAAGAAGUUUUACCAGAGAAACUAAGGAGAUCUGGAAAAUUGAAGCAGACUUACAUCUGAAAACUUUGAGGGCUUUGGAAGAAAGUUUGCUUUAAUAUUCUUUUAUUAUUUUUAUUAUUAUAUAUAUUUUUGGAACUAUGAUUCAGUUUUAAAAGAUCCAAGCUCAAAGAGCCUCCAAAUCUGACAGAUAAGUGAAAAUACUAGUACACAACUUGUUAGACUUUAGUCUUUCCCAUGAAACGUGAAUACCAUGAAAGAGGACAGAAGUUCAGAAAUAUCUACUUGAAAUAUGUAUUCUUGUAUGAAAGCUAUGUGAGCUAGGAGCUGAUUGAGUUUUUAAGAGUGACUAUCUGGACAGGUGGGUAGUGUCUUUUUUUUUUUUCUCUA